rnacentral:rRNA from 1 species
CGGGAGCUUGCUCCCUUAGGUCAGCGGCGGACGGGUGAGUAACACGUGGGUAACCUGCCUGUAAGACUGGGAUAACUCCGGGAAACCGGGGCUAAUACCGGAUGCUUGAUUGAACCGCAUGGUUCAAUUAUAAAAGGUGGCUUUUAGCUACCACUUACAGAUGGACCCGCGGCGCAUUAGCUAGUUGGUGAGGUAACGGCUCACCAAGGCAACGAUGCGUAGCCGACCUGAGAGGGUGAUCGGCCACACUGGGACUGAGACACGGCCCAGACUCCUACGGGAGGCAGCAGUAGGGAAUCUUCCGCAAUGGACGAAAGUCUGACGGAGCAACGCCGCGUGAGUGAUGAAGGUUUUCGGAUCGUAAAACUCUGUUGUUAGGGAAGAACAAGUACCGUUCGAAUAGGGCGGUACCUUGACGGUACCUAACCAGAAAGCCACGGCUAACUACGUGCCAGCAGCCGCGGUAAUACGUAGGUGGCAAGCGUUGUCCGGAAUUAUUGGGCGUAAAGCGCGCGCAGGCGGUUUCUUAAGUCUGAUGUGAAAGCCCCCGGCUCAACCGGGGAGGGUCAUUGGAAACUGGGGAACUUGAGUGCAGAAGAGGAGAGUGGAAUUCCACGUGUAGCGGUGAAAUGCGUAGAGAUGUGGAGGAACACCAGUGGCGAAGGCGACUCUCUGGUCUGUAACUGACGCUGAGGCGCGAAAGCGUGGGGAGCGAACAGGAUUAGAUACCCUGGUAGUCCACGCCGUAAACGAUGAGUGCUAAGUGUUAGAGGGUUUCCGCCCUUUAGUGCUGCAGCAAACGCAUUAAGCACUCCGCCUGGGGAGUACGGUCGCAAGACUGAAACUCAAAGGAAUUGACGGGGGCCCGCACAAGCGGUGGAGCAUGUGGUUUAAUUCGAAGCAACGCGAAGAACCUUACCAGGUCUUGACAUCCUCUGACAACCCUAGAGAUAGGGCUUCCCCUUCGGGGGCAGAGUGACAGGUGGUGCAUGGUUGUCGUCAGCUCGUGUCGUGAGAUGUUGGGUUAAGUCCCGCAACGAGCGCAACCCUUGAUCUUAGUUGCCAGCAUUCAGUUGGGCACUCUAAGGUGACUGCCGGUGACAAACCGGAGGAAGGUGGGGAUGACGUCAAAUCAUCAUGCCCCUUAUGACCUGGGCUACACACGUGCUACAAUGGGCAGAACAAAGGGCAGCGAAGCCGCGAGGCUAAGCCAAUCCCACAAAUCUGUUCUCAGUUCGGAUCGCAGUCUGCAACUCGACUGCGUGAAGCUGGAAUCGCUAG